rnacentral:sRNA from 1 species
GUGUACCACGCGUAAACUCCGGUUCCUCCGCGCCAUCCGAACCCACCCGAGGACUGAUCUCUACCUCGCUACGUUUUGUUAGCC